UGAAUACGAGACGCUAAGGCGUCGAAGUAGUGUAUGUCAUACUUCCAAGAAAAGCUUGCACUGUCAUAGAUAAAAAACGCCUGUACCAUAACCGACACAGGUGGGUAGGUAGAGUAUACUAAGGGGCGCGAGAUAACUCUCUCUAAGGAACUCGGCAAAAUAACUCCGUAACUUCGGGAGAAGGAGUGCCUUAUUCGUAAGGUUGCAAUAACAAGAUCCAAGCAACUGUUUAUCAAAAACACAGGUCUCCGCUAAGUCGUAAGACGAUGUAUGGGGGCUGACGCCUGCCCAGUGCCAGAAGGUUAAAGAAGUUGGUUAGCAAUUGCGAAGCUGAUAACUGAAGCCCUGGUGAACGGCGGCCGUAACAAUAACGGUCCUAAGGUAGCGAAAUUCCUUGUCGGGUAAGUUCCGACCCGCACGAAAGGCGUAAUGAUUUGGAUACUGUCUCGGAGAGGGGCUCGGUGAAAUAGACUUGUCUGUGAAGAUGCGGACUACCUGCACCAGGACAGAAAGACCCUAUGAAGCUUUACUGUAACUUGAAAUUGAAAUUGGACUUUAUUCGCGCAGUAUAGGUGGGAGGCGUUGAUUAUAAUCUUGUGGGAUUAUUGGAGCCAUCAGUGAGAUACCACUCUUGUAAUGUUAGAUUUCUAACUUUGAAUCAUUAUCUGGUCAAAGAACAGUUUCAGGCGGGCAGUUUGACUGGGGCGGUCGCCUCCUAAACGGUAACGGAGGCGUACAAAGGUUUCCUCUGAACGGUUAGAAAUCGUAUCUAGAGUGUAAAGGCAUAAGGAGGCUUGACUGUGAGACCUACAAGUCGAGCAGGGACGAAAGUCGGUCUUAGUGAUCUGACGGUACUGAGUGGAAAGGCCGUCACUCAACGGAUAAAAGUUACUCUAGGAUAACAGGCUGAUCUCCCCCAAGAGUUCACAUCGACGGGGAGGUAUGGCACCUCGAUGUCGGCUCAUCGCAUCCUGGGGCGGUAGUACGUCCCAAGGGUUGGGCUGUUCGCCCAUGAAAGCGGUACGCGAGCUGGGUUCAGAACGUCGUGAGACAGUUCGGUCCAUAUCCGGUGUAGGCGUUAGAAUAUUGAGAGGAGCCUUCUUUAGUACGAGAGGACCGAGAAGGACAUACCUCUGGUGUACCAGUUAUCGUGCCAACGGUGAACGCUGGGUAGCUAUGUAUGGAGUGGAUAACCGCUGAAAGCAUCUAAGUGGGAAGCCCACCUCAAGAUAAG
rnacentral:rRNA from 1 species